UGAGGAAUCUUGCGCAAUGGGGGAAACCCUGACGCAGCAACGCCGCGUGAGUGAGGAAGGUCUUCGGAUCGUAAAGCUCUGUCGGGUGGAAAGAAGUGGGGAAAGGUGAACAGCCUUUCUCCCUGACGGUACCACCGAAGGAAGCACCGACUAACUCCGUGCCAGCAGCCGCGGUAAUACGGAGGGUGCGAGCGUUGUUCGGAAUCAUUGGGCGUAAAGAGCGUGUAGGCGGCUUGGCAAGUCAGAUGUGAAAUCCCUGGGCUCAACCCAGGAAGUGCAUUUGAAACUGCCCUGCUGGAGUAUGGGAGAGGGAAGUGGAAUUCCUGGUGUAGAGGUGAAAUUCGUAGAUAUCAGGAGGAACACCCGUGGCGAAGGCGACUUCCUGGCCCAAUACUGACGCUGAGACGCGAGAGCGUGGGGAGCAAACAG
rnacentral:rRNA from 1 species